rnacentral:rRNA from 1 species
GGUAGAAUUCCAGGUGUAGCGGUGAAAUGCGUAGAGAUCUGGAGGAAUACCGGUGGCGAAGGCGGCCCCCUGGACAAAGACUGACGCUCAGGUGCGAAAGCGUGGGGAGCAAACAGGAUUAGAUACCCUGGUAGUCCACGCCGUAAACGAUGUCUACUUGGAGGUUGUGCCCUUGAGGCGUGGCUUCCGGAGCUAACGCGUUAAGUAGACCGCCUGGGGAGUACGGCCGCAAGGUUAAAACUCAAAUGAAUUGACGGGGGCCCGCACAAGCGGUGGAGCAUGUGGUUUAAUUCGAUGCAACGCGAAGAACCUUACCUGGUCUUGACAUCCACAGAACUUUCCAGAGAUGGAUUGGUGCCUUCGGGAACUGUGAGACAGGUGCUGCAUGGCUGUCGUCAGCUCGUGUUGUGAAAUGUUGGGUUAAGUCCCGCAACGAGCGCAACCCUUAUCCUUUGUUGCCAGCGAU